AGCUCAAUUAGCUUAUAUGGUUAAAGCGCUUGUCUGAAAAACAUGAGAACAGGGUUCAAAUCCCGAUGGGCUACCA
rnacentral:tRNA from 1 species